GAGAGAAGUUACAAGGGCGAACGGAGGAUGCCUAGGCUUCCGGCGGCGAAGAAGGACGCAGUAAGCUGCGAAAAUGUGCGGGGAUCCGCCAACAGGACUUGAUCCGCACGUAUCCGAAUGGGGAAACCCGGACGAGUGAAGCUCGUCCACGCCAGAGCGAACCCAGGGAACUGAAACAUCUUAUUACCUGGAGGAAAAGAAAGAAAGAUCGAUUUCCCGAGUAGUGGCGAGCGAAAGGGAAAUAGCCCAAACCGGUGCUGUUACGGCAGUGCCGGGGUUGUAGGAGUCAUACCGCGAACAGUCCAUCAAAAGCGGAAGCUUCUGGAAAGGAGUCCGGCACAGGGUGACAGGCCCGUACGCGUAGAGCAUGAGCUGUUCAAAUGACCACCUGAGUAGGGCGGGGCACGAGGAACCCUGUCUGAAUCCGCGGGGCCCAUCCCGCAAGGCUAAAUACGACCGGAAGACCGAUAGUGAACCAGUACCGUGAGGUAAAGGUGAAAAGAACCCCGAACAGGGGAGUGCAAUAGACCCUGAAACCGUUCGUCUACAAGCGGUCGGAGCAUCUUUAUGGUGCGACGGCGUGCCUUUUGGAUAAUGAGCCUACGAGUUGUUCCAUUCCUGCGAGGUUAAGCGCUUAAGGCGCGUGAGCCGAAGCGAGAGCGAGUCUGACAAGGGCGUAGAGUAGGAGUGGACAGACGCGAAACCUAGUGAUCUACCCUUGGCCAGGUUGAAGGCGCCGUGACAGGCGCUGGAGGACCGAACCGGUUUCCGUUGAAAAGGAUUCGGAUGAGCUGAGGGUAGGGGUGAAAGGCUAAUCAAACUGGGAGAUAGCUCGUACUCCCCGAAAUGUCUUUAGGGACAGCCUCGCCGGAGCUUCACGGAGGUAGAGCUACUGAUAGGAUGCGAGGGCUUCACCGCCUAUCAAUUCCUGACAAACUCCGAAUGCCGCGAAGUGAUCGACGGGAGUGAGUCGCCGGGUGCUAAUGUCCGGUGGCAAGAGGGAAAGAGCCCGGACCGCCAGUUAAGGCCCCGAAAUGUAUGCUAAGUUGAGAGAACGAGGUGGCUAUGCAGAGACAGCUAGGAUGUUAGCUUGGAAGCAGCUAUUCAUUUAAAGAGUGCGUAACAGCUCACUAGUCGAGCGCAGCUGCGUGGAUGAUAAACGGGCAUCAAGCAUACUGCCGAAACUGCGGACUCUGGAUUAAUUCAGAGUGGUAGGGGAGCAUUCCGGUCGGCGCCGAAGGUCGUUCGUGAGGACGGCUGGAGCGUCCGGAAAAGAAAAUGUAGGCAUAAGUAACGACAAUGCGGGCGCGAAACCCGCACACCGAAAGCCCAAGGUUUCCUGAGCGACGUUAAUCGCCUCAGGGUAAGUCGGGCCCUAAGCCGAACCCGAAGGGGGAAGGUGAUGGACAACCGGUCAAGAUUCCGGUACCCGUUAUGUCAGUGAAGGAGUGACUGAGGAGUGACACCUCCGCCGCCUGACGGAAUAGGCGGUUGAAGCGCGUAGGUAUAGUUUCCGGUAAUACCGGAGAUUGCUGAAACGUGACAGUACCGCGAGCCUUCGGGCAAGCGGACAGCGAGGGUAAUCAGACUCACGAGAAAACCUCCGUAGCAUAUGGCAUGACGGCCCGUACCGUAAACCGACACAGGUGGGCGAGGAGAGAAUCCUAAGGUGCUCGAGCGAUUCAUGGCCAAGGAACUCGGCAAACUGACCCCGUAACUU
rnacentral:rRNA from 1 species